UACGUAGGGUGCGAGCGUUAAUCGGAAUUACUGGGCGUAAAGCGUGCGCAGGCGGUUGAGCAAGACAGAUGUGAAAUCCCCGGGCUUAACCUGGGAACUGCAUUUGUGACUGUUUGGCUGGAAUCUGGCAGAGGGGGGUAGAAUUCCAUGUGUAGCAGUGAAAUGCGUAGAUAUGUGGAGGAAUACCGAUGGCGAAGGCAGCCCCCUGGGCCGAGAUUGACGCUCAAGCACGAAAGCGUGGGGAGCAAACAGG
rnacentral:rRNA from 1 species